CUAAAAGCUCUUCAUCGCCUGUGCUGCUGAUCGUUCUGCUGCUUUGUGGAAUAGUAUUGAUUAUUCUCCUGCUGCUGUGUUGCUGCAGAAAGUCAACAGAUCCAUGUUGGAACAGGCUCACUCAGUCUCAAAGAGAGAAUCAGGGCUCUGCUACAAACCAACCAGUCAACCAUGAUGCUAAUCAACAACAAGUAUAUUCCUCUCUUCUCCACAGUGAUGUUUGUGUCUAUGAAACAAUCAGAGUCUAUGAAAACACUGGAGAAGGGCAAUGUGAUGAACCAGAGGAAGGCCCUAUCUAGAUGAGUGUGAAUCCAUGUUGAAUCACAGGUCGAUAAAGAGAAGCUCAUGAUGAACAAAGAAUGGACAACAACAUGAAAAACAAAAUGUUUCAGCUGAUAUUUGACAGCAAGUACACAACUGCCAUCCAAACAUUAGACACAGUGUUUUGUGUAGUUGUGUAGCUGAACAUAUGAAGAAAUCACAUGACCUGGAUUUAAUUUCAGCAUAAACAGUAUAUAUGUAUAUUUUUGUUGCAAUCAUGCAGCUGUUUUGUACAUUUAACAGCAUAGAGUUAUACUUGUGUUUUUUCGUUUCAGUAUUAAGGUUAGACAGGCUACAGUAGCCAGUUUGAGAUGAACAUUAUUGGUAGAUUCACUUGUUAUGUUGGAAAAACGUCUGAGAUGUGAUGGCUCUGUUGAGGUUUAUUUUUGCAAAUUGUGUGAUUGGUGUAUAAUGAUAGAUAUGUAUUAUUUUUAUAUUAAUGGAAUCUAUUUUACAUUACACUGAAUCCUUUUUAUUUUAUCAUACCUUUUUUCUACUAAGAGCAAUGGUUUUGUAAAUAAAUAGAAUAAAGU